GCAGUCGAGCGGACCGAAGGGAGCUUGCUCCUUUAGGUUAGCGGCGGACGGGUGAGUAACACGUGGGCAACCUGCCCUGCAGACUGGGAUAACUUCGGGAAACCGGAGCUAAUACCGGAUAACACCGAAAACCGCAUGGUUUUCGGUUGAAAGGCGGCUUUUAGCUGUCACUGCAGGAUGGGCCCGCGGCGCAUUAGCUAGUUGGUGAGGUAACGGCUCACCAAGGCGACGAUGCGUAGCCGGCCUGAGAGGGUGACCGGCCACACUGGGACUGAGACACGGCCCAGACUCCUACGGGAGGCAGCAGUAGGGAAUCUUCCGCAAUGGACGAAAGUCUGACGGAGCAACGCCGCGUGAGUGAAGAAGGUUUUCGGAUCGUAAAACUCUGUUGUGAGGGAAGAACAAGUAUCAACUAACUAUUGGUACCUUGACGGUACCUCACCAGAAAGCCACGGCUAACUACGUGCCAGCAGCCGCGGUAAU
rnacentral:rRNA from 1 species